CCUAACAGACGGCUGGCCCACAUGCCAUUGACCCAACUGCAGGUGCAGUUACGGCACCCAAGCAGCGUCCUCUCCCAACCACCCAACCCAAACUCCGGCGGCCUCCUCUCCCUCUAGCGCCGCCGCUCCACCCUCACCUUCCUUCCUCUCCAAAGGAAGGGAAGGGAAGGGAAGGGAUGGGAUGGGGAGGGGAGGGGAGGCCCCAGAUCGAGCGGAGCGACGCCCAGAUCCGCAGCGGCACCGGCACCAGCGCGCCGUCGCGCCGUCGUCCACCUGGUCCUCGAGGAAGGCCAUGGAUGGGGGCGGAACCCUAGCCGGCGACUCCUUUUCAUGGCCGCCAAAUCCUUGCCUGGAGCUGCACCGUCAUCCAUCUCUCUACAUGUUUCUAGAUUCGCUGUCGCUGCGCGCUGUGCUUCUGGAUCACGUGCAAGUCAUUGUCAUUGGAGAGCAGGGGUGGCUUGGUAUUUAUGGUGGGCAUGGAGCAGAGGAGGAUGAGAGGGGUGGCCAUGAGACCUGAGAGAAAAGGAGAAGGGGAUGAAUCAACUCAAGGUGUUCCUAAUGGCAACAGUGGUAUAAUCAGCAAUGAGGAAAAAGGAACUACGAUUGGAUUUGUACUAGGCAAGGCAAACAAAACUACUGCACCAGAAGAACCUGUGCUCCAGUCUGACGAAGCAGCCAGGCUAUAUAUACACAUCUUUGCUUCCUGAUCCGUUUUGUCACCCUUGAUGGUCAGGCUGAUGCUUCUUCGCUUGAUGCCGAAGAAAAGGAUGAUCAUAUUAAGAUCCCCAAGAACAACAGGGAGUUAGGACAGGGAAGAAAUCAGAGCAGUGACUGCUUUGCACUAGCUAUACAGGGAUCGAAAGCCUAUAGGAGUAGGAGGAGAUAGGGAGGAUGAGGAAGGAGACAAGCAGGAGGAAGAGAGAUUCUUGGGGAUUUGCUCGCCUUAUGGACUCGCUAUAAACAUGUGCUUGUUGUGCUACUCAUGCUUUUUAUCUUACCAUCAUCUCCAAUAGUGUCGAGUUCCUAUUGUUUGGCCUUGUCUUAGGAUCGAAGGAACAUUCAAAUUCUGAUGUUUGCUGAAAAUAUAAUGUAAUUUUCCCAUGAAUAGUCUUGAUUCAGCCCAGAGAAAAUAUGAAUGGUUUGGGUUUCAUCCUAUAUAAGUAUUAUUAUUUGUGAUAUACGGAUAUAGGCUACUUCUACUACCAGCUUGUCUUCUCCAGCUACUUAUUUUCUCCUGUAUUCCAGAUCCUGUUGCAGUUUACUUGGCCCGAUGCCUGGUGUGCUCACUUUCGUCUUGCCAAGGUUCCGUCUUCCUCCUUCGGCAUUCUUUUCUUUUGCUCAUUUCAUAUGUAGUAUUUUACUGAACUGUGUGUGUUUCGUGCUUGUGUCCUUUCUUCCUUGUUAGUGUUACUUAUUGUUGCCUAUUGACUUUAUACCUUGUGUGCCGCUUAUCAUUGUCCCAUUGUUUAGUUUUUGUUCUGCCAGAAAAGGGUACAUCUAUAUAAUGAAUAUAUGUUGAUUCUACAAAGCGACAUGUAUUUUGAUAUGUGUUCAAGGAAAAAUGCCGAAUCUACCUAUUCUUAUCCAUCCAGAGGUUGUGAUAUACUUUGUCAACCAAUGGAUUAUUACAAAUUUGACCUUCUCAAUAUGGUGUUCAUUUCCAUGUGCAGAAAUAGAUUGUAUCAUGCUUUGUUAUAGAUUCUGUAGGUCUGCUCUGUACCAAGAACCUGCAGAUUUCAAUAUUGCUAUGUGCAUAUAAGCUUCAUUAAUUUGUUGGGCAUUAACCUCAGUCACAUAUUAAACAUGGAUGGUAGUGAUUUCUUUUUAAAAGCAUUUAUCAUUUUGAAAUUACGUCCUUCAUAGCUUGAUUAAAGGUCUAGAUAAGUAAGGUUUAUCUCUACACUAUCUUCUGCCUGUUAUAUUUUCCCUAUAAACCUCACCCUACCCGCUAUUCUGGGGCAUCCGCGGCGCAUGCAUGAUUUCGCUUGAACGAUUCACGGAGCCUGCGCUUGGGUGUGAUGCACGGGAGGCUGCGCUUCGCCUCUUCCUCGCUCAGCAAUAGGAGCAUUUGCAGUGGGGUGGUGCGGCCCAGGGACAGAAGUUGCUAAAGAAAGCUCCGACAUUAUAAUCUUAGAUGAUGACUUCACAUCUAUUGUGAAGGGUCAUUGGAAUGGACCAAGUUAUGAAUGUUCGUGAAAUGCGAUACUAGAAUCUUUGAAGCGGGUGCUAUCAAGAUCAUGCCAAAGGCAGAGCGUGCCAAAGGCGAUGCUCAUCCCCGUUCUUAGUGAGAUGCGUUUACUCGAUGCAAAGUAUGAGCAUUGCAGACUCUGGCGAGCUGUUGAAGGUCGACGAGGAGGGCGCCGCCACCACCGUCAUCAGGCUGCUCCACAUCCACGCGCUGCUCCGCGUCACUAGGUCACUGGCACAACUCCUCACGCCCAGGUCGUUCAACAUUUUCUUUCGCUUUUGGUGCGUCACAUUUAGAGUCUUUCUUUCCCAUUUUACCGUGUUUGCAUGGUAAGAUGUUUGGUUGGAUUUGAAGGUUCGUAGACUUGGCUCCAAAGCUUCAAGCUCUUGUAGAAAUUAGAACUGAGGGCCUUUUAAAAUGAGUCCUGCAUAGUAAUGUUGUUCAGUGGGAUGCAUAAUUUUUGUUUGUAUUGAUUUACAUACUGAUUUCAUCAUCAUAUGAAUACAAUGAAGAAGUUGUGUGUAUAAAUAUUACUAACUGAUGAUACUUUGCAUCAGUGAUUUCAAUUA